rnacentral:rRNA from 1 species
GACGAACGCUGGCGGCGUGCUUAACACAUGCAAGUCGAACGGAAAGGCUCCAACUUUCUGCUGUUCUCGAGUGGCGAACGCGUGUGUGUCACGUGGGUAUUCUGCCCUGCACUCUGGGGUAAGACUGGGAAACUGGGUAUAAUAUAGGACAUGACCUUUCUUCUUACGGGGUUUGGUGGAAAGUUUUUCGGUGUCGGAUGUGCCCGCGGCCUAUCCGCUUGUUGGUGGGGUGAUUGCGUACCAAGGCGACGACGGGUAGCCUGCCUGAGAGGGUGAUCGGGCACAGUGGGACUGAGAUAGGGCCCAGACGCCUACGGGAGGCAGCAGGGGGAAAUAUUGCACAAUGGGCGGAAGCCUGAUGCAGCGACGUCGCGUGAGGGAGGACGGUCUUCGGGUUAGAAACCGCUUGCAGCAGGGACGAAGCGUAAGUGACGGUACCUUCAGAAGAAGCACCGGCUAACUACGUG